UAACUGAAUCAACGGUGUGUCAUCGUUGAUAAGGUAAAGGAAAAGAAAUGAUAUUACUUUACUAUUAGUGUCGUCCAAGUACUCGUGCCAGAAGACUCGGUAAGGCGAGAGACGCAAACGUUAGUCGUCUUAAUCAGGCGUAAAGGGUUUGUAGGCAGCUUUAAAAUUUUAUUCUACAACAGAUAGGAUAAAUCAAUUAAAGCUAGAAUCAAGUAGAGGUUAAUUAAAUAAUGUUUGAAUAUAGGGUUGAAAUCUUUAGAAUUCAAAUGGAAUACUAACGGCGAAGGCUUUUUUCCAAUAAUGAUUGACGCUGAGAAACUAAGGUGAGGAAAGAAAAAAGGAUUAGAGACCCUCGUAUCCCUCACUGUCAACGAUGAAUGGUAGUUACUAGAUAAAGAAUCUAGAGACGAUGUUAACACGAAAACCAUUCCGCCUUGUGAGUACGACUGCAAAGUUGAAAACAAAAAAAUUAGUCGGUUUCGGAGCAAACGAAGUGAAGCAUGUUAUUUAAUUG
rnacentral:rRNA from 1 species